rnacentral:rRNA from 1 species
GCGCCGUAGCAAUACGGAGCGGCAGACGGGAGAGUAACACGUGGGAACGUGCCCUUCAGUUCGGAACAACCCAGGGAAACUUGGGCUAAUACCGGAUACGUCCGUAAGGAGAAAGAUUUAUCGCUGAAGGAUCGGCCCGCGUCUGAUUAGCUAGUUGGUGGGGUAAUGGCCCACCAAGGCGACGAUCAGUAGCUGGUCUGAGAGGAUGAUCAGCCUCACUGGGACUGAGACACGGCCCAGACUCCUACGGGAGGCAGCAGUGGGGAAUAUUGGACAAUGGGCGCAAGCCUGAUCCAGCCAUGCCGCGUGGGUGAUGAAGGCCCUAGGGUUGUAAAGCCCUUUCGGCGGGGAAGAUAAUGACGGUACCCGCAGAAGAAGCCCCGGCUAACUUCGUGCCAGCAGCCGCGGUAAUACGAAGGGGGCUAGCGUUGCUCGGAAUCACUGGGCGUAAAGCGCACGUAGGCGGCUUUUUAAGUCAGGGGUGAAAUCCUGGAGCUCAACUCCAGAACUGCCUUUGAUACUGAGAAGCUU